rnacentral:rRNA from 1 species
GACGAACGCUGGCGGCGUGCCUAAUACAUGCAAGUAGGACGCAGUUGCGAACGGGUGAGUAACGCGUAGGUAACUGCCUAUUAGAGGGGGAUAACUAUUGGAAACGAUAGCUAAUACCGCAUACUAGUAGAUGGACCUGCGUUGUAUUAGCUAGUGGGUAGGGUAAUGGCAUACCUAGGCAACGAUACAUAGCCGACCUGAGAGGGUGAUCAGCCACACUGGGACUGAGACACGGCCCAGACUCCUACGGGAGGCAGCAGUAGGGAAUCGUGCGCAAUGGGGGGAACCCUGACCGAGCCACGCCGCGUGAGUGAAGAAGGUUUUCGGAUCGUAAGCUCUGUUGUUAAGGAAGCGUUACUUAACCAGAAAGGGACGGCUAACUACGUGCCAGCCGCCGCGGUAAUAC